GAUGAACGCUAGCUACAGGCUUAACACAUGCAAGUCGAGGGGUAACGGGAGGAAAGCUUGCUUUCCUUGUCGACGAUCGGCGCACGGGUGAGUAACGCGUAUCCAACCUGCCCCCAACUAGGGAAUAACCUUGCGAAAGUAAGACUAAUACCCUAUAAUUUCCUCAGAUGUCAUCUGACGAGGAAUAAAGAUUUAUCGGUUGCGGAUGGGGAUGCGUCUGAUUAGCUUGUUGGCGGGGUAACGGCCCACCAAGGCAACGAUCAGUAGGGGUUCUGAGAGGAAGGUCCCCCACAUUGGAACUGAGACACGGUCCAAACUCCUACGGGAGGCAGCAGUGAGGAAUAUUGGUCAAUGGGCGGAAGCCUGAACCAGCCAAGUAGCGUGCAGGAUGACGGCCCUAUGGGUUGUAAACUGCUUUUAUACAGGAAUAAAGUUAGCCACGUGUGGUUAUUUGUAGGUACUGUAUGAAUAAGGACCGGCUAAUUCCGUGCCAGCCGCCGCAGUAA
rnacentral:rRNA from 1 species